GACAACAUGGCCGAGUGGUUAAGGCGCAUGACUAGAAGAAAUCACGUGGGUUCGUCCGCACAGGUUCAAAUGAUUACAAGAAAUCAUGUGGGUUCGCCCGCACAGGUUCAAAUCCUGUUGUUGUCG
rnacentral:tRNA from 1 species